GGUCCGCUGGCUCAAUGGCAGAGCGUCUGACUACGAUUCGGUAAUCAGGAGGUUCCAGGUUCGACCCCUGGGUGGAUCG